UACAGAGGAUGCAAGCGUUAUCCGGAAUGAUUGGGCGUAAAGCGUCUGUAGGUGGCUUUUUAAGUCCGCCGUCAAAUCCCAGGGCUCAACUCUGGACAGGCGGUGGAAACUACCAAGCUUGAGUACGGUAGGGGGCAGAGGGAAUUUCCGGUGGAGCGGUGAAUGACGUAGAGAUCGGAAAGAACACCAACGGCGAAAGCACUCUGCUGGGCCGACACUGACACUGAGAGACGAAAGCUAGGGGAGCGAAUGGG
rnacentral:rRNA from 1 species